ACAUCUUAAAUUGAUGUUAGCCUUUUCUUGUUUUCAGUGGCUCAACUUACAACGAAAAUAAAGCACCUAUCGUCAGUUCUGCACAAAAAGGAUAAGCACUCUCGUAAGGGUCUACAACCAAUGGUGCAAAAGAGGAAGAAGUUGUUGAAGUAUCUCCGAAGGACAGACUGGGACUCCUACUGUCUCGUUCUCUCUAAGCUUGGCCUUCGUGACAACCCAGAUUACAAGUUCUAGACCAGCCUGUAUGACAUCGUUUUGCAUUGUGGAAAUGCAAGUUUUACUUUGACAGAUUGCUCGAAGUCCUUACCUUACCAGUUACCAAGACCUUUCUUCUUGUUGUAGGGAGAGAAGCGGCGAGGGUGAUGGACUUUUGUUGUUGGUUGACUCCCUCCCAAAGGGAAGCUCAUAACUGGAUCUUUAGUAUUUGUAAUUCAUUUAGUCUUUGAAAGGAGAGCCAUUUGUAGGAAUUCAAGGGUUGCUUAUACCAUGUUUUUUUAAUGGUGGUGUCCGGAAUAGCCACCUCCUUAUCUGGUUGGUGUUACUACGUGUUGUGUUGUGUCUGCGUCGUUUACUUUUAUCUUGAGCCGGGUGUCUAUUGGAAACAACCUCUCUACCUUCACAAGGUAUGGGUAAGGCCUGCGUACACCCUACCCCUCUAAGACCUUACUUUGUAGAAUUACACUGGGUUUGAUAUUGAUGUUUUGUCCGGAAUAGCCCCGUCGACGUGUUGCUUAUUUAUGUAACUUCAUCUACUUGAGCUCA